UACGGAGGGUGCGAGCGUUGUCCGGAAUCAUUGGGCGUAAAGGGCGCGUAGGUGGCCCGGUCAGUUCGUGGUGAAAGCGCGGGGCUCAACCCUGCGUCGGCCAUGAAUACUGCCGCGGCUGGAGCACUGUAGAGGCAGGCGGAAUUCCGGGUGUAGCGGUGGAAUGCGUAGAUAUCAGGAGGAACACCGGUGGUGUAGACAGCUUACUGGACCACUUCUGACGCUGAGACACGAAAGCGUGGGUAGCAAACAGG
rnacentral:rRNA from 1 species